UGUGUGUGUGUGCGUGUGGCAAUCGCAAUACAUUCCACUCGAGACAACGUGUGACGAGGGUGAAGGUUCAGCCCUGCAGUCUGCCUUCUCGCUCUGCUGCUGGUGGAAGGACCUCCACUAGUGGGUGCUCUUGAGAACCUUCUUGAGCAGUGUUCUUCACUAAUUUUCAGAGAGGGGGCCACUUUCGCCGAUAAGACAUCAUCAGUGUGAGGGCCGCCACUAAUUGAAACCACUGGGUUUGACAGCAGCACGAUGAUGGGCGGUGUUGUCACGUGUUGUGUAUUAUCUGGACCGUACGUCAGGGGCCGCCAGUGCCCGCGGGCCUUGCAAUGAGGAACACUGCUCUUGAGGGUAUUUAACCUACUAUUCUACGCUGGUGAGAUGUCUUGGGUGGGGUGGGAAGUUACCCACGUUUUACCUCACCACACAUGACCUUUCAAUUGACGAGCUUUUGUGUUUCAGUUUAUACUGCUGGGUGGACAUGGGGGGGGGGGGUGGUAUAAGACACUUGCCCUUGAUUUCAACUGUCACGCUGGAAGAUUGAAUCAAACUCGCAACCUCGCAAUUGCAAGUCCACUGUGCAAAAAAUUACACCACCAGCAUCCAUUUAAUGAGAGUCGUUAUUUACCCAGGUAAGCAUCACAUGGGCAUGUGACAAUGUGGUUGGAGCACGUGACGAUCAGAGGAUUGUGAAUUCAAAUAUUGCUUAAGCGAGUUAAAUAAUCCUUCAGGGGCAAAAUAAAUAAGGUACCACUUUGUGGGAAGCCAAUCGUGGUCAUCCUAUGAAUGUAGUGCUUCCUGUAAUGGUAAUGUGCAGCUCCAAGCACUAUGUUGAGGGCCACCAAUGGAAAUGAGCGCUGCAACAUUUCUAGUUCGAGUUAGAAGGUACCAUAGCUGACUCGGACUGAGUCACCAUAGAACUGUAAUUGCAUGUAUUUUUUAUUGCCAUACGCAAGAAUAAGAUGAAAUCUAGAAUUUAUUUUAGGAAGGACCUGCUGUGGGGAUGUUUGGCCAUAUCAAAUUUUGAAUACCCUGUUCAUGAUGGAGAAAAGUUUAGUACCCAGAGAAAACCCAUUCAUUAUAAUAAGGAAUGCUAUUUAAUAUAAACCAAUCUGUAUAGAUAGCACUGUGGUCUUCUUUGUGGUACUGCAGCUUGGUUAUUCUGUAUUUGGAAGGCGCAUGUGCAUUAUGAUCGUUACAUGAGUCACAAAUCCUGCUUGUACAUAGUGCUGAUAAUUCUGUUAUAGUGCACAUUUUUUCUCUCAUGAAAUCUCUUCAUGAAAUGCAUUCGCGUGUUUUGUUAUUAACUCUUUUCCACUUGGCCUUUAAUGUCCUAUGGCUUAAUAGAUCAUUGAACUACACAGAUCAACAUCUAUUGAGAUGGAGAAUCCAAUUUUAAAAGAGACUGGCUUUUAAAUAGUGUGGGCUUGUUGUUUAUUGAAAUCUCACUUUGUUAAAGAAUGCGAAAGCUGCUUGAGUAUUACUAAUUCUCAAGCGUGUCCAUGUGAAUGUAUUAGAGCUCUGAUUUGUCUGACCUUGAUUCCAAACCCCAAUAAUGCACAUCCCACAUUGCCCAAGUCGAGUGAACCCAAAUAAUCAAUUAACUGAUUAAUAUAUUUCUGCACUGUCCUAAAUCUAGUUCUGUAAUGUGAGGCCACUGAUUUAUUAGUUCUAUUAACCUAUUCAGCCUUCCGUGUGUGUUCUUACCACUUAACAGCCAUGGCUCAAACUCUGCCUGCUGACAUAAUUUAAACGGGGGCGGGGGGGGGACUGAAGCCCUCUGGUUAUUGACAAAACACUCAAUUAGUAGCAGUGGAGCCCUUAGUUGCUCUCUAAGCACAAGGCACAAUUAAUUGUGAUUUGUCUCCUCUCAAUUUUUCCAAAGCCGUCGAGUGGCACCCUUGAUCUUGCUGACCUUGAAGUUUCACGUGGCUUGUGGGAAAUGUGUAACGUGUUACUCUUGAGUCAUGUUGUCAGCUCGGAAUGCGAAAGAAACAACCGUGUGGUCUAGCUAGCAAGGCUUGGUAAAACCAUGCUUCUCUUCAGCUCCACACUGGUCAAGUGCUUUCAAAUCGUAACUCAAGAGAAUAUUGGCCUGUCUGCAAAAGUUGACAGGAGGUUUGGAGUCAACAAACAGCCGUGCAUAUUGUGUAUGAUCAGAGAUAAACUACUGAAACAAACCCUUUUUUCUGCUUUAUAUUUGUGCUUGAGGUCUGCAUUGUAUCUGAUAUCAUUUUAAUAAUAUCAAGCAUUGCAUUGUGACAGUUAAACUCGUAACAUUUUAUGAAAAUAAAAUGUAUCAAUGAUGUCUGCAUGUAUAUGGGCUUACAAUUAACUGUGGUCAUAUAUUUCACUUGAAGGUAUUGAAAAUUGCAUGGCUUGCAAUGGUGUAACUCUUGUAAAUUGAUGGAAUCUAAAAUAUCCCCUUUUAUUUUGUUUAGCCGAAGGAGAAGUGGAUAUUUUACGUCCCAUUAUUUUGCAGAAAGAAUGUUUCUUUACAAUAUUCUUCAUAUUAAUGUAUCAAUGGGACAGUUGAACCACACUGGCUCUCUGAGGAGUGUGCUAACCACUAAGCUUUCUACACAACAUGCCAUGUAGGAAGUGUGGGAAGUGUAAAAAAAUGUAAACCCGCUUCUUGGACCAGCUCAUGGGUACAAGUCUUUUCACUCUGCUUGGCGAUUAUUGACAGAGUUCCUUGAUGCCUGCAGCUGUUGACUCUCUUCAGCGUUGUCACAACGUUUGUAGCACUGCAAUUGACAAGGGAGUUGUGAGGUGGAUGGUUUGGGUGGAGAGAGUGGGACGUGCGAUGUGGGAGCAUGGGAAGAGGGUGGUAGUGGUAGGCACCCUAAGGACACGUUUCUUUUAAGUGCGAGAUGAAACGGAGCUUUCUUCCCGAUAAGUAUGAAUGCUUUGAACAUUUUUAGAAAAGACACUUAAGAGAUUUAGAGAGCACGUGGCACUUUUGAGUUUCCCCCUGAUUUCACGCUGUGUAUUAAUGUGGAAACAAUGUAUUCGGCCAGUCAUGCUACUUCUAAAUCUGGCUUGCAGCUAAGGUGUGCAUGCACAUGGAGUUUUCUGUGGUAUGCAUAAUUUUAAGUCCUUGACCACCAACCUAUGGGCCGUGUAUUAACACACUACUGCCAUCCAUUGUACUUGGGUUUACGAUGACAUAAACACUAUCAUGGAAUUACAACAAAGUCAAACAUCUGUAAGAGUUAGAUUUUUUUCAGGAGCUAUUUUUAAAAUUCAUUUUGCUCAUUAAUGUAGUCUGCAUUUAAAAUGUCCAAUGUCAUCGCGUCAUUAACACUGGGAAAUUCCACCACGCUAAUUUUAAAUGAUGCAAAAAGUAAUUACGUUUUGAAGGAAGGCCACUUUCACAGCUGUACUGGUGGAUUAUAAUCAAUCCAUCUUCGCUUGUGGCGUAUUCAGACAGUGAUAUGUCAUAGUUACCUUGAAAAGUGUGUAUCAAUGUUCAAUGUAGUAUUAAAUGUGCGUGUGUGUGUAUAUAUAUAGUACACAUUCAAACGCAUUAUAUAAUUGUCAUGACACAGAAAAUAUUUAGAUGACAUUUUUUUAAAAUGUAAAACUAGCAGCCACAUGUCCUUUGGACUUGUCUGUCCGUCCCACCAGCCAGACAGCCAAAAAGCCAGCAAAAUAUAUAUUUUUUAUAAUAAGCUUAUGAUUAAUAAGAGUAUGAUUAAGCUUCUUUGUAAAACGAUAACAUUAGCAAGGUCCAUUUAUAAAAAUUAGACCUAGAUUUGGAAAUACACAUGUACAUUACUUUUUUUUUCGAUUUAAAGCUUUCGUGACUGCAAGGAUUCAU